GACAGAGGCCUCAAGCGUUAGGCGGAAUCACUGGGCUUAAAGCGUGUGUAGGCGGAUCGUUAAGUGCCUUGUGAAAUCCCACGGCUUAACUGUGGAACGGCUGGGCAUACUGGCGGUCUUGAGCCAUCUAGGGGCGACUGGAACAAACGGUGGAGCGGUGAAAUGCGUAGAUAUCGGUUUGGAACGCCAAUGGUGAAAACAGGUCGCUGGGGAUGAGCUGACGCUGAGGCACGGAAGGCCAGGGGAGCAAA
rnacentral:rRNA from 1 species